CUCUCUCUCAUGUUCCUAGUUUUAUUCUCUUUCCCUCUUGUCCCCAGUUCCUUUUUACCUCAGUUAUCAUUUCCUCUUCUCCCUUAAUCCUUGCCUCUUCAUCUUUCUCUCUUUUAUCUCUUUUUCCUUCCCGUGUCCCUUUAAGUUUUUCUUCCUCUUAGUCUCUCCCUCCUUAGCUCCCUUCUCAGUCAGUCUCUCUCCUGCCCACUGCACCUCCGCCCUCUUGAUCCCUGCCAGGUACUCUCUGACCUCUGACUAAAGCGUAUUCCAGACAACAUUGACGGAUAAGAAAAUAAUAAUUGAUUUUUUUCCACCGCAGACGUGAGAGAAAGAGAGAGAGUUUAAACACUGAGUGACUGGAGAAAGGAUAAAGCUUGAUGUAAAAAUAAGAAAGUGUUGGAAAAUAUAACAGAUGAACUUUUAAAUGGAAGAACAUCUGGAAAUACGAGUAUAAGGUAAUAAGAGGACGUUGUGUGUUUGUUUUAGUACUGUAUAACUUUUAGUGAACAUAAGGAAGGUUGGUGUUGGAAGAAUUAUGAUUGCACGCAAGGAAAAUUGAAGCUGAAAGAAGGUCGCGUGUUCGUGUAGCACUGGAUAACAAUUGCUGAACAUAAGGAAGGUAAAUAUUAAAGGAAAUAUCAGAAACAAGGAAAAUAGAAAUUGAGGGAAAAUCUUUUACUGAAUAUAAGGAAGGUUAAGAGAAUCAUUAGAAACAAGGAAAAUACAAACUGAAAAAGAACGUUGGGUGUUUUUGUAGCACUGGAUGACAAUUACUGAAUAGAAGGAAGGUAACUAUACUAAAAGAAAUAUUUGAAAGAAGGAAAGUACAAGUUGGAAAAAAAGUCACGUGUUUCUGUAGCUUGGAUAACAAUUACUGAACAGAAGGAAGAUACGAGGAGUAAAAGACCACCGUGUGUUUUGUACUAGAUAACAAUUCAACACGGGGAAAAAGAUUGCAGAGAUUUUACUAUCAGAAGCAAAGAAAACACAAACUGGAAAAAAAAAGAAGUCACAUUGUCCCUGUAACACCAAAUAACAAUUACUGAACAGAGAGAAUAUACGAGAAUCAAAACAUUACCGUGUGUUCUGUACUUGAGAGCCACUCGAGGAAAAGUUGGCAGAGCAUCGUGUGUUUUGAAGCUCUCGAUAAGUAUUCCCCGGAGUGUUUCUUAAGGUUAGUGUCCGUAGGUCAGCAGCGGCCUUGUGGUGACCCGUGCGUUCCUUGUUGGUAUUGUGUUUCUCGCAGCGCCCGCCCACCACAGCCGCCAAGAUUCCGUUCCUACGCCGAAAGAAGGUUAUUGAGGUGGUGAUGAGGGAGAAGAAGGGCGGCGCGUUAAGCAAAGUCCAGAAGCUUAAACGGCGCAUCUCCAACAGCUUCGGAAAACUAGGUAAGCAGCUCACCUUCAGUCACGCUUCCCAGGUAAAGGCAAGGUGAGGAUAGUAUAUUAUAGAUAGUAAGGAAGAUAGAUGUGUUAGAAUUAUUGUAGUAGAAGUGAAAGUAAGGGAGAGAGAAGAUAACAGGUGAUAAACGAGGAAGAAGAGAUAUAUUAGAAUUAGUGCUGGAGGAAUGAAGGUGUAGGAUGUGUGUGUGUGUGUGUGUGUGUGUGUGUGUGUGUGGUGAUUGGCGGCGUGAAGUGACGUGGCGAGGACCUGAUUGCCUCUUUAUUGCCCCUCAUUGACAUUAGUGUGCCGCCGCUGCUGCCGCCACCGCCGCCAUCACUGCCGCCGCCACCACCACCACCAUCGCCACCACCACCACCAUCGCCGCCACCACCGCAAGGACAAUAACAUCAACAACAGCAGCAUCCCUCACUGUCAUCACCACCAUCACUGCUACUAACAAAUAACAACAACAACAACGACAAAGACACGACCACAACCACCAAGACGAAGUCGAAGAACAAACAACAACAACAGCAUAAACAACAACAACAACAACAACAACAUGACCACAACCACCACCACUACCACAAAGAAGAAGAACAACAACAACAAUACUCCUACUUGCCACCACUUCUAUGACCACCACCACCACCACCACCACCACCACUACCACCACCACCACCACCACUACCACCAUUAAUAGCUCUUGUCACCACCAUUAGCUCUCAUCACCAUUACACGCAACUCACCAACUGAACAAUUACCUUAAGUUUUACAACCACCACCACCACUACCACCACCACCACCACAACAACAACAACAACAACAUGGACAGGAGCCAACUCUUGUUUUUUUAUUUUUCUUUUCCCUACACCAAAAAUAUUCCUCUUAAAUGAAGAAAAAGAAGGAGGAGGAGGAGGAGGAGGAAGAAGAAGAAGAAGAAGAAGAAGAAGAAGAAGAAGAAGAAGAAGAAGAAGAAGAAGAAGAAGAAGAAGAAGAAGAAGAAGAAGAAGAAGAAGAAGAAAGAAUAAAAAAAGGAAGAAAAGGAAAAGAAAAAAAGAAAACGAGGAACUUGCUGACAAUAUGUGGGGAGAGAGAGAGAGAGAGAGAGAGAGAGAGAGAGAGAGAGAGAGAGAGAGAGAGAGAG